rnacentral:lncRNA from 1 species
UUACAGUUGAAGAGGUGGGGUAAAAUGAAUUUUGCUGUAGCUGUAAAUAAAAAUUGGCUGUUAUAGUAUUAUGCAGUGCUAUGGAAGAACCCUUUCUUACUAGGAAAAAUCCUAUGUGAUGUGGAUAGGAGUAGAAAGAAGGAUCAAGAAAGGCCUGGCUGAAAUGUGUUGUGUGGUUGAUAUUUAUAUUGAGCCAUCUCUAUAUGUGCUUAAAAAUUCUUUGUUCUACAGAUUUAGCACUGUUUUGAGUGACCUGUGGAUAAUUUUUUGUUCCCUGAGGCAUCUGUAGUACAUGGUGAUUUUCCAGGACUGGGGUGUCAGAAUGCUGGAAUUAUGCCUUAGUUCUUCUGUUGAUCAGCUUUGAUGUGAACUUAAGUAAAUUACCUAAUAUUACCAAGCCUCAGAUCCUCCAUCUGUAAAAUAAUUCCCAAAGUUCUGCUGGGACAAGAACUGUACUUUUUCCUUUCUUAGUGAUUUUAACACAAUACGGGAGCAUCUUGGGGGAGAUUGCUCUGGAAAAGUGGUAUCAUAUGUAUACUUAGAUGUGAUUUUGUUUGUAGUACCUUGCAGAAGCCGGCUGGACAGCUGAAGGAAGAGUGGUAGGAGU